AACAGAGAAACAUGCUAAACUAUACGAAAGGUAAAAGUUAAGGAGAUUGGGUACCUGCACAAAAACAAUUGAUUUUUUUAGCACAUGUCAAGACUAAAACAUUUUAUUUUAUGAAAGUAUAUGAGCUACACAACUGUGCACAUCACCAACAUAUUUUUUUUAUUAGAAAACAUUAAUAGCAAAUAAAGGUAAACAUAUCUCGGAUGAAAACGAUGCCCAAUUGAUUAACUUACGAAUUUCAUUGCUAAUUAAAUGUUAUCCUUCGAUGGAAAUAUUAAAUCCUUUUUGGCGGAUCAAGAAACAAUAUUUUUCUUUAACAACAACGCACCGAAUAUACUAGCAAACUCAGCUUUAAUAUCACACAUUAAUUCCACAAAU